UACGUAGGUGGCAAGCGUUAUCCGGAUUUACUGGGUGUAAAGGGCGUGUAGGCGGGAGAGCAAGUCAGACGUGAAAUUCCAGGGCUCAACCCUGGAACUGCGUUUGAAACUGUUCUUCUUGAGUGAUGGAGAGGCAGGCGGAAUUCCGUGUGUAGCGGUGAAAUGCGUAGAUAUACGGAGGAACACCAGUGGCGAAGGCGGCCUGCUGGACAUUAACCGACGCUGAGGCGCGAAAGCGUGGGGAGCAAACAGG
rnacentral:rRNA from 1 species